rnacentral:rRNA from 1 species
UACGGAGGGAGCUAGCGUUGUUCGGAAUUACUGGGCGUAAAGCGCGCGUAGGCGGCUUUGUAAGUUAGAGGUGAAAGCCCGGGGCUCAACCCCGGAACUGCCUUUAAGACUGCAUCGCUUGAAUCCGGGAGAGGUGAGUGGAAUUCCGAGUGUAGAGGUGAAAUUCGUAGAUAUUCGGAAGAACACCAGUGGCGAAGGCGACUUACUGGACACAUAUUGACGCUGAGGUGCGAAAGCGUGGGGAGCAAACAGG